rnacentral:tRNA from 1 species
GCGAUCUUAGCUCAGCUGGGAGAGCAUCUGCCUUACAAGCAGAGGGUCACAGGUUCGAGCCCUGUAGGUCCCA